UACAGAGGGUGCAAACGUUGCUCGGAAUCAUUGGGCGUAAAGCGCACGUAGGCGGUCCAGCAAGUGGGGAGUGAAAGCCCUCGGCUUAACCGAGGAAGUGCAUUCGAAACUGACGGUCUUGAGUAUGGAAGAGGGUCGCGGAAUUCCCGGUGUAGAGGUGAAAUUCGUAGAUAUCGGGAGGAACACCAGUGGCGAAGGCGGCGACCUGGGCCAAUACUGACGCUGAGGUGCGAAAGCGUGGGGAGCAAACAGG
rnacentral:rRNA from 1 species